CAGCCGCCGCGGUAAUACGUAGGUGGCAAGCGUUGUCCGGAAUUAUUGGGCGUAAAGCGCGCGCAGGCGGCUUCUUAAGUCUGAUGUGAAAGCCCGCAGCUCAACUGCGGAGGGUCAUUGGAAACUGGGAAGCUUGAGUGCAGAAGAGGAGAGUGGAAUUCCACGUGUAGCGGUGAAAUGCGUAGAGAUGUGGAGGAACACCAGUGGCGAAGGCGGCUCUCUGGUCUGUAACUGACGCUGAGGCGCGAAAGCGUGGGGAGCAAACAGGAUUAGAUACCCUGGUAGUCCACGCCGUAAACGAUGAGUGCUAAGUGUUAGAGGGUUUCCGCCCUUUAGUGCUGCAGCUAACGCAUUAAGCACUCCGCCUGGGGAGUACGGCCGCAAGGCUGAAACUUAAAGGAAUUGGCGGG
rnacentral:rRNA from 1 species